rnacentral:tRNA from 1 species
GUAAACCCCCUUAUUUACC